AUCCACAUUUACCACAGAUCACAAUGAAGACCUCUGUACUAUCUGUGCUUGCACUCUGCUGCGUUGUCUCCCUUGUCAUCGCUGAUUAUGGCGCCUAUUACACGCCAUACAACUACGGGGCCCCGUCCUCUGGAUUCGGCGACAAUACUUUGUUGAUGUUUAUUGGUCUCCUGUUUAUUCUGACACUCCUGUUCACCAACCUGACACAGAAUAACACCAACAUCAUCAACCUCACAGCUUCGUAAGCAUAAAGUAGUGUCUCAGAUUUGGUUACAAAGUGGUUGCAACAUGCGGUGUUCCAUGGCUCUCAUACAUUUUGUCAUACUCUAUCAAUCAAAAUAAAUAUAUCAUAUCUAUUUACUGCCUGAAGUUAUGUAUUUACUGUACAUUC